UACGUAGGCAGCGAGCGUUGUUCGGAGUUACUGGGCGUAAAGGGUGUGUAGGCGGUUUUCUAAGUUUGGUGUGAAAUCUCCCGGCUCAACCGGGAGGGUGCGCCGAAAACUGGGAGACUAGAGUGCGGGAUGGGAGAGUAGAAUUCCUGGUGUAGCGGUGAAAUGCGUAGAUAUCAGGAGGAAUACCGGUGGUGUAGACGGCUCUCUGGACCGCCACUGACGCUGAGACACGAAAGCGUGGGUAGCGAACAGG
rnacentral:rRNA from 1 species